rnacentral:lncRNA from 1 species
GCAAGGGUCUCAAUCUAGUUGCUUAUUUUAUUUAACGACAUAUAGAAGCACGCAGGCACAUACUUUUCUUAUUAUAUAAUUCCUCUGUAAUUGUUUAUAAUGGAAGGUAAAUAUCUCACACUUAUUAAGAAAGUUCAAAUUUUUGUGUCUCUUUUUUAAUAUGUUUUGUUGGAAAAAUAUUUUAAAAAAUUGUUUAUACUCUAAUUUUGAAGCAAUCACAACACUGUGUGGGACUUUAAGCUCUUUCUUCUUUUGUCAUGUUCUUUUUCUUCUUCUACUCUUUCUCUUUCCUUUUCUUUAUUUCUUAUUCUUUCUUCCUUCUUCUAUCUUAUUCUCUUUUAUUUUUUAUAUAUAAAUAUAUAGUUUAUUCCCCUCUUAUUUACUUCUCUUUCUUUUUUUUCUCUUUUCUUUUUUCUUCUUUCUCACUCUCCAGUUAUUUUUUCUUCUUAUCUUUCUCUUUGAUAUUCUUUCUUUCUAAUUCAUUCUUUCCUCUUUCUCUUUUCUAUGGUUUUCUAAAUAUGUAAUUUACUUCUCUCAUAACCACUUGGCAAAGCAUUUGGAUAGUCUCAUUCCUAGUGGUUAUCUGCAUUCGGUACAAACUCUUUUUUUUUUUUGUUGCUAAACACAAGAAUAUUGAAUUUUUAUUCAAUGUAGGAUCACGUCUUUAUUUGUACACUAAUUUAUCUUUUAAAAAACAAUAUAAACAUAUAACAUAAAUUAUUUGAGUAAAUGAUAAACUAGAAGGUUGGUUGUAUAGAACUCCACUCAGUUCCACAUGACGUACCAAUUGAUAGUGUAGUAUAGGAGGAAUAGUUUGAUAGGUUUUAUAGUAUUGCUUCUAAAUAAUAUGAAAGAAACAUAUAAACAAGUUAAACCAAGACUAAAAGUACUAUAAAUAAUGCUAAUAUUAGAUCCUUAACGCCAAUUCCGUUAUAUGAAUUUUGCAUAUUUCCAAGAAUUAGAAUCUGCUCUUUCAAUAUACAAUAAUCUACUUUGUAAGGGAUAAAUUAAAGUGCACAUCGUGGUAUCUUUCAACCAUGUAUUUUUCUCUGAAAAACUUGAACAUUUAUCAAUCCAACAUACUCUUAUUUCUUCCUUCAAAAUUAUUUAGUUAACAUUAUUUUUAUGUUUUACUUUGAAGUUUUAAAAUAAACUCCAAAAGUAUAAAAAUAUUGUUAAGCGCAAAAUUACCAAAGUCAAUAUACACGGUUUUAAAGGGAGUUUACAAAUUUUCGACACCCGUGCAUUGCACGGGUCUCAAUCUAGUUGCUUAUUUUAUUUAACGACAUAUAGAAGCACACAUGCACAUACUUUUCUUAUUAUAUAAUUCCUCUAUAAUUGUUUUCUAAUGGAAGGUAAAUAUCUCACACUUAUUAAGAAAGUUCAAAUUUUUGUGUCUCUUAUUUAAUAUUUUUUGUUGGAAAAAUAUUUUAAAAAAUUGUUUAUACUCUAAUUUUGAAGCAAUCACAACACUGUGUGGGACAUUAAGACCCAAUUAUUUAUGCCUUUCUCUUUCUUCUUUUGUCAUGUUUUUUAUCUUCUUCUACUCUUUCUCUUUCCUUUUGUUUAUUUCUUAUUCUUUCUUCCUUCUUCUAUCUUAUACUCUUUUAUUUUUUAUAUAUAAAUAUAUAGUUUAUUCCCCUCUUAUUUAUUUCUCUUUCUUUUUUUUCUCUUUUCUUUUUUCUUCUUUCUCACUCUCCAGUUAUUUUUUCUUCUUAUCUUUCUCUUUGGUAUUCUUUCUUUCUAAUUCAUUUUUUAUUUUUCUUUCUUCUCAUCUUUUUUAUGGUUUUCUAAAUAUGUAAUUUACUUCUCUCAUAACCACUUGGCAAGGCAUUUGGAUAGUCUCAUUCCUAGUGGUUAUCUACAUUCGGGACAAUCUCUUUUUUUUGUUGCUAAACACAAGAAUAUUGAAUUUUUAUUCAAUGUAGGAUCACGUCUUUAUUUGUACUCUAAUUUAUCUUUUAAAAAACAAUAUAAACAUAUAACAUAAAUUAUUUGAGUAAAUGAUAAACUAGAAGGUUGGUUGUAUAGAACUCCACUCAGUUCCACAUGACGUACCAGUUGAUAGUGUAGUAUNAAGACAUUCAAUAAGAUGGAUUUUUGAAAUGGUUAUGCAUUUCCAAUUAUUUAAGUUGUGAGUACCGUUGUAACCUUUUCUGUACGAAUACUAUUUCUCUAUAUACAUCCAUAAUUAACCAUUUCAUUUUUCGUAAGGCUAAUUAUAUUUUAAAGUGAAAUUAAAAAUUUCAAGAGUAUUAUUAAAAAAAAAUGUAAAUUCAUAGUAAGUAGUUUUUUUUUUGUAAUGGAUAAAUUAAAGUGCACAUCGUGGUAUCUCUCAUCCAUGUAUUUUUCUCUGAAGAACUUGAUCAUUUAUCAAUCCAACAUACUCUUAUUUCUUCCUUCAUAAUUAUUUAGUUAACAUUCUUUUUAUGUUUUACUUCGAAGUUUUAAAAUAAACUCCAAAAGUAUAAAAAUAUUGUUCAGCGCAAAAUUACCAAAGUCAAUAUACAUGGUUUUAAAGGGAGUUUACAAAUUUUCGACACCCGUUAAUUGCAAGGGUCUCAAUCUAGUUGCUUAUUUUAUUUAACGACAUAUAGAAGCACGCAGGCACAUACUUUUCUUAUUAUAUAAUUCCUCUGUAAUUGUUUAUAAUGGAAGGUAAAUAUCUCACACUUAUUAAGAAAGUUCAAAUUUUGUGUCUCUUUUUUAAUAGUUUUGUUGGAAAAAUAUUUUAAAAAUUGUUAUACUCUAAUUUGAAGCAAUCACAACACUGUGUGGGACUGACAUUAUUUAGCUUCUCUUUCUUCUUUUGUCAUGUUUUUUCUUCUUCUACUCUUUCUCUUUCCUUUUUAUUUCUUAUUCUUUCUUCCUUCUUCUAUCUUAUUCUUUAUUUUAUAUAAAAUAUAUAGUUAUUCCCUCUUAUUAUUUCUCUUUCUUUUUUCUCUUUCUUUUUUCUCUUUCUCACUCUCCAGUUAUUUUUCUUCUUAUCUUUCUCUUUGAUAUCUUUCUUUCUAAUUCAUUUUUCUCUUCUCUCUUUUUAUGGUUUUCUAAAAUAUGUAAUUACUUCUCUCAUAACCACUGGCAAGCAUUUGGAUAGUCUCAUUCCUAGUGGUUAUCUGCAUUCGGUACAACUCUUUUUUUGUUGCUAAACACAAGAAUAUUGAAUUUUUAUUCAAUGUAGGAUCACGUCUUUAUUUGUACACUAAUUUAUUUUAAAAACAAUAUAAAAAUAUAACAUAAAUUAUUUGAGUAAAUGAUAAACUAGAAGGUUGGUUGUAUAGAACUCCACUCAGUUCCACAUGUACGUACCAGUUGAUAGUGUAGUAUAGGAGGAGUAGUUUGAUGGGUUUUAUAGUAUUGCUCUUAAAUUAUAUGGAAGAAACAUAUAAACAGUAAACCAAAAUUAAAAGUACCGUAAAUAAUGCUAAUAUUAGAUCCUUAACGGCAAUUCCAUUAUAUGAAUUUUGCAUAUUUCCUAGAAUUAAAAUCGUCUCUUUCAAAUACAUAAUCUACUUUUAAUAUAGAAAUUUGUAGUAAAGAUUUGGAUACAUAAUUUGUGUAUUAAUAACUUAAAUCUGUUUUUACAACAACCCCGCAACAAAAAUCAAACUCCAGAUAACUUGGUCAUAAUGACUCUGAUAGAAUGUAAUCAUGAACUAACUUUAUAUCAAACACUAACAUCUUCAACACUAAGAAACAUGUAUUCAAAUAAGUGAAAUAGCUUUCAUAUUCCAAUAAAUAGUGAAAUAAGUAUUAAUAUUUAUAAUAAACAUAUUUUAGAAAUGCAUUUACAAAUAAAGUCAUCUAUUUUUUCUAAUAGUUGCAAUAAUUAAACCUAAAUCUAGAAGACAUUCAAUAAGAUAGAUUUUUGAAAUGGUUAUGCAUUUCCAAUUAUUUAAGUUGUGAGUACCGUUGUAACAUUUUCUGUAUGAAUAUUAUUUCCAUAUAUACCUCCAUAAUUAACCAUUUCAUUUUUCGUAAGGCUAAUUAUAUUUUUAAGUGAAAUUAAAAAUUUCAAGAGUAUUAUUAAAAACAAAUGUAAAUUGAUAGUAAGUAGUUUUUUUUUUGUAAGGGAUAAAUUAAAGUGCACAUCGUGGUAUCUUUCAUCCAUGUAUUUUUCUCUGAAGAACUUGAUCAUUUAUCAAUCCAACAUACUCUUAUUUAUUCCAUCAUAAUUAUUUAGUUAACAUUCUUUUUAUGUUUUACUUUGAAGUUUUAAAAUAAACUCCAAAAGUAUAAAAAUAUUGUUCAGCGCAAAAUCACCAAAGUCAAUACACAUGGUUUUAAAGGGAGUUUAGAAAUUUUCGACACCCGUGCAUUGCACGGGUCUCAAUCUAGUUGCUUAUUUUAUUUAACGACAUAUAGAAGCACGCAUGCACAUACUUUUCUUAUUAUAUAAUUCCUCUGUAAUUGUUUUCUAAUGGAAGGUAAAUAUCUCACACUUAUUAAAAAACUUCAAAUUUUUGUGUCUCUUUUUUAAUAUGUUUUGUUGGAAAAGUAUUUUAAAAAAUUGUUUAUACUCUAAUUUUGAAGCAAUCACAACACUGUGUGGGACAUUAAGAACCAAUUAUUUAUGCCUUUCUCUUUCUUCUUUUGUCAUGUUCUUUUUCUUCUUCUACUCUUUCUCUUUCCUUUUCUUUAUUUCUUAUUUCUUUUUCCUUCUUCUAUCUUAUUCUCUUUUAUUUUAUAUAUAUAAAUAUAUAGUUCAUUGCCCUCUUAUUUAUUUCUUUUUCUUAUUUUUCUCUUUCUUAUUUUUGUCUUUUCUUUUUUAUUCUUUCUCACUCUCCAGUUAUUUUUUCUUCUUAUCUUUCUCUUUGAUAUUCUUUCUUUCUAAUUCAUUCUUUCUUCUCAUCUUUUCUAUGGUUUUCUAAAAGUGUAAUAUACUUCUCUCAUAACCACUUGGCAAAGCAUUUGGAUAGUCUCAUUCCUAGUGGUUAUCUGCAUUCGGGACAAACUCUUUUUUUUUGUUGCUAAACACAAGAAUAUUGAAUUUAUUCAAUGUAGGAUCACGUCUAUAUUUGUAUACUAAUUUACCUUUUAAAAAACAAUAUAAACAUAUAACAUAAAUUAUUUGAGUAAAUGAUAAACUAGAAGGUUGGUUGUAUAGAACUCCACUCAGUUCCACAUGACGUACCAGUUGAUAGUGUAGUAUAGGUGGAGUAGUUUGAUGGGUUUUAUAGUAUUGCUUCUAAAUUAUAUGGAAGAAACAUAUAAACAAGUUAAAC